GAUGAACGCUGGCGGCGUGCCUAAUACAUGCAAGUCGAACGGUACUUCUUUAUCACCGUGUGCUUGCACUCACCGAUAACGAAUUGAGUGGCGACCGGGUAAUUGCCACGUGGCCACCCUUCCCAAAAGAGGGGGAUAACACGUUAAAACGGGUUCUACUACCGCAUACCCAUAGUUACCGCAGGGUAACUAUGUAAAAGGUGGCGAUACUACCGCUGUCGUAUGAGCUCGCUGCGCAUUAGCUAGUUGGUAGGGGAAAGGCUUACCAAGGCACUGGUGCGGAGCCGAAGUGAGAGGAUGAUCGGCCACAAUGGGACUGAGACGAGGCCCAAAAGCCUACGGGAGGCAGCAGUAGGGAAGAUUCUACAAUGGGCGAAAGAAGGAUGGAGCAACGCCGCGGGGGUGGAGAAGGUCUCCGGAUCGUAAUACCCCGUUGUUAGAGAAGAAAGUGGGUGGGAGUGAUUGUGCACGUGUCGACGGUAGCUAAACAGAAAGCCACUGCUAACUACGUG
rnacentral:rRNA from 1 species